AUUGCUGAGGAGCGUUGCGACCCCCGGAUCGGGGGCCAGGCUCAGCGAAAAUGAACGGCGCUCGCACUGG
rnacentral:ncRNA from 2 species